GCUUGCAAGCCAGAUUAUAUUGGGAAUAAUCUCAGGGAGGAAGUGCAUAUUAUCAUGAUCUCCAUUAGCCACAGCAAGUGACCUGCUUUCCUCACAUAUUUCUGUCACCCACUGCCGUAGGUCUGUCUGCGUUUGGUCACCCACCCACUGCGUUUGAUCUGCUUUUUCCAGGUCCUCACCCUCUACAUCUGGAAUGAUGACACACUCUUCUGCAAUUCGGGCUUUCAGCAGUCCCACUGGCAGAUCAUCUUGAUGCAGUGUGCAACAUCAACGCGAACAAAACAAGGUGGCACUUUUGCAGACUGAUUACCAACAUUUGCACGACUGGGACACUUGAGCUUUCAUUACCUGCCAGAACGCCCUGAUAUAAGAAGACAUGGCCAGACAUGCCGUUUGGUCUC